UUUAGAGUUUUCAAUGGAUGAGUACUGCAAGCUAUUGAUAGUAUUCAUCAAGUUGGAAUUUGCUGUCUUGCUUUAGUUUUGCCCAAUUGUUUGCCAAAUGAAGCUGUCACUGUUGUUGUUAUAAAGUCAUGGCCUUACUGAUUACAUUCCAAAAAAGAAAUUAACUGGCAUAAGCAGAGCCCCAACUCCUGAAAUGAUAGCUUAUUUGGAUUUAAAUGUUAGCACAACUGGAAUGCUUAUCUGAUAUUAAGAGUUCGUGAUACAUUCUGUUCCUAUGGCAUUAUGGAACUUUACACAAGAGGCUUAGGAUCAUUGUCACAAUU
rnacentral:lncRNA from 1 species